rnacentral:rRNA from 1 species
AUGGAGCCAACAAGAUAUAGCUAUUGUGGAUGCAGGGGAAGGCAGGCUUGGGAUGUUCCGUACAGCCAACAAGAUAUAGCUAUUGUGGAUGCAGGGGAAGGCAGGCUUGGGAUGUUCCGUACAGGUUAUGAAAAUGCAAGUGGUGAAUCUUAUCUCUGUUAUUCCAUUUGGCAAAACAAAGGCGAGAGUUCCGGCGACUGGCAGAUGGAGAAAAUGUCACUAGGUUCUGGGUAUCGGUAUAAUAUCGAAGGUGGAACAGAAAACUACUUGAUCAUACUAAGGAUAGAAGCUCAGAAGUACUUUUCGUUAAUAACCCCACCAAUCACUGAAUUUUGA